AAGGUUUAGGGUACCCAGUGCCCAAACUUCAACCCUAUGUUUACGUUAACUUGUUUCUUUGCCGGCUUAGGCCGGCAGAAGAUUUCUCAAACUCAUUAUAAAUGUGUCCUCUGAAUGAAAUAUUCAAUGUAUUA
rnacentral:misc_RNA from 1 species